AUUCCUUCAGGAACAUCUGAUAAAACUGAGACGAUACACGUUAUAGAGAAGAUUAGUAUGAUUUCUGCGCAAGGUUGACAUGCACAAAUCGAGAAAUUGUCCAAAAAAUA
rfam:Helianthus annuus linkage group 9, whole genome shotgun sequence.